AUUGAACGCUGGCGGCAUGCCUUACACAUGCAAGUCGAACGGUAACAGGUCUUCGGAUGCUGACGAGUGGCGAACGGGUGAGUAAUGCAUCGGAACGUGCCCAGUAGUGGGGGAUAGCCCGGCGAAAGCCGGAUUAAUACCGCAUACGACCUACGGGUGAAAGGGGGGGAUCGCAAGACCUCUCGCUAUUGGAGCGGCCGAUGUCAGAUUAGCUAGUUGGUGGGGUAAAGGCCUACCGAGGCAACGAUCUGUAGUUGGUCUGAGAGGACGACCAGCCACACUGGGACUGAGACACGGCCCAGACUCCUACGGGAGGCAGCAGUGGGGAAUUUUGGACAAUGGGCGCAAGCCUGAUCCAGCAAUGCCGCGUGCAGGAAGAAGGCCUUCGGGUUGUAAACUGCUUUUGUCAGGGAAGAAAUCUUCUGGGUUAAUACCCCGGGGGGAUGACGGUACCUGAAGAAUAAGCACCGGCUAACUACGUGCCAGCAGCCGCCGUAAUAC
rnacentral:rRNA from 1 species